UACGGGGGGGGUAAGCGUUGUUCGGAAUUACUGGGCGUAAAGGGCUCGUAGGCGGCCAACUAAGUCUUACGUGAAAUCCCUCAGCUUAACUGGGGAACUGCGUGUGAUACUGGAUGGCUUGGAUUUGGGAGAGGGAUGCGGAAUUCCAGGUGUAGCGGUGAAAUGCGUAGAUAUCUGGAGGAACACCAAUGGCGAAGGCAGCUCGCUGGGACGUUACUGACGCUGAGACGCGAAAGCGUGGGGAGCAAACAGG
rnacentral:rRNA from 1 species